rnacentral:lncRNA from 1 species
UUUAUUUUGAACAUUUGUCUUUUUUAUAACAGGAUUCUGGCCCUAUAAAUUCAUUAUUCUAAGCUAAAUUCUAUCAGUUCUGGGUGAAAGCAGGCCUAAGGACGAAGGAAAACUGAAGGAUCUGCACCAGGAAGGCCUGGAGGUCAGCAGUGGAAGCCAGAAAGUCUGUGCCAGCGGGGUGAAGGAUCUACCAGCAGGAUGGCAGAAAGUGACACUCAAGCUGCCUAUAACAGUCCCCUCUCUGAAGAAGUAACCCAAACUGCCGUGAUGGAAUAACAGGCGAUGACCACUCUGGCUUCUUCCAGUUGAAAGAGGUUGUAGUUGUUGAUCAGCAGUCAGAGAUACUCUCCAGAGAGUCUAUCUAAAGACCCUCGAUACGCACCAGGCAUUUUCAUCUUGGGUAGGUAUAUA